UACAGCACCCCCCCUCCUCACAGCCAAGACAGAUAAUGACUAAUAAUGUACAGCCAAUGCAGAGAUAAGUUAUAUAGUGCUUCCUCCUCCUCCUCCUCCUCUUCUUCCUCUUCUUCCUCCUCCUCUUCUUCCUAUUUUAUUCCUGCUUCUUCCUUCCUUCCUCCAAUAUGUUAAGCCUGUUGUUUUUUUUCAUCUUUCUCUUCUUCCUCUUUCUCUUCUCUUCCUCCUCCUCCUCCUCCUCUUCUUCCUCCUCCUCUUCUUCCUAUUUUAUUCCUGCUUCUUCCUUCCUUCCUUCAAUAUGUUAAGCCUGUCUUUUUUUCAUCUUUCUCUUCUUCCUCUUUCUCUUCUCUUCCUCCUCCUCCUCCUCUACCUCCUUCCUUCUUUAAUAUAUUUUUAGUCUUUUGUUUCCUUUUUUUUUUUCUCUUCCUCCUCUUCUUCCUCCUCCUCUCUUCAUUUGCUCUCUUCCUCUCCUCUUUUUUUUCUUCCUCCUCCUCUUUCCUCUUCUUCCUCCUCCUUUCUUUAAUUUAUUUUUAGUCUUGUUUCCUUUUUUUCCUCUUCUUCCUCCUCCUCCUCCUCCUCUCUUCCUUUCCUCUUUUUCUUCCUCCUCCUUUCUCCUCUUCUUUCCUCUUCCCUUCAUCUCCUCCUCCUCCUCUUUGUCCUUCAAUACAUUUCUCUCUUGACUUAAAUUUUUUCCUGGUUUUUUUUUUCAUUUUCCUUUUUCUUUCCUUUUUUCUCUGUUUUUCCUGUUUAUCUUUUUUUUCUUUCUCUAUUCUUCUUCUUCUUCUUCUUCUUCUUCUUAGUGGUCUCUCGGAAGUGGUGAUGUUGAUGACAAAUUAUUAUUAUUAUUAUUAUUAUUAUUAUUAUUAUUAUUGUUGUUGAUGUUGUUGUUGUCGUUUGAUGUUCCGUUCUCAUCUACUGCCAUAUGUUCCGUGUGCGCGCGCCUGUGUGUGUGUGUGUGUGCGCCAAACUUCUCCUCAUGUGCGCGAAAGUCGAGUUUUACAAAUAGUUUUCCCUCGCUCACUCCCUCAUGUGUGUGUGUGUGUGAGUGCGUGUGCGUACGUACACGUGUAGGUAUUACUUCUACCUCAGAGGAAUAGCAAUUAAAGGAAGGAAGGGGUUUUCGUGUGCGCAUGUGUGUGUGCGUAUCGGUGUAUGUGCGUGUGUGUGUGUACUCAUGUUUAUAUUGGUAAAAAAAAAAAACUAUUAUGAAAGAGAGAGAGAGAGAGAGAGAGAGAGAGUAUAACAUUGUACAGCCCAUAGUAUUAAUUUCCUCAUUAUAAAUUCUUACAAAUAUUAUUACCAUUAUUAGAAGCUUUAUUAGGAGAGCUGAAAACAAGCAAGCAAGAAAAGAAGAAGACAAAAGAAGAAAAUGAUGAUGAUAAUGAAGAAAAUGAUGAACAAAAUCACCACAGAAAAGAAAAAAGAAAGAAAAUGAGACACAAAAUCGGGUGUUGUAAUUUAUCAGCGAAUUACGAAACUGUCACAAUUUUAUUUAUUUUUUACUUUCUUUACGAUUUCCGACGAUGUGUUCUCCCGAUAUUUUCCUUCUGAUUACCGACGGUGUGUUCUCCCGAUAUUUUUCUUCCGAUAUCUGAAUACCCUACGCCCCUGUCCACCCAGCAGUGAAUGGGUACCAGGUAUUAAUCGGGGGUUGUGUCCCGUGUCCUGGGGUGUGUUCCCUUCUCCUAUAACUCAUUCCCCUUCUGUCUCUCCGGCAUAUGACCACAGAAUGAGGGAGAUAUGGAGGAAGGAGAAUAAGGAAGAGAGAGAGAGGGGGGGGGGAAUGAGAAAGGGAGGAAAGAGUAAUUGGAAGAGAGAUAGAAGGGAACGAGAGAGAGAGAGAGAGAGAGAGAGAUGUUGCGCCCACUCAACAAAACUUUCCAAACUUUCCGACGAUGUGUAUUUCUGAUAUUUUCUUGAUUUCUUGCUUUAUAUUAAGGAAGUUGUGUACACUCUUAGAGGAAUAUAGUGAAGUUUUUAUUGCAGAAGAAAAUGGAGGAAGAAAAAAAGUGAAGAGAAGGAAGUUUUUAUCAAUAAGGAAAAUAAAACACAAGGAAAAGUAGGUGAAGUUUUCAUAAGUAAGGAAAACAGUGUUGAAGGAAAAUAAUGCAGGGAAGAAAUGGAAGUUUUUAUUAAUAAGGAAAAAAACGAACCAAACUUUUAAGAAGGUGAAGUUUUUAUUAGCAAGGAAAAUAAAUAAGGAAAAGAAAUGGAAGUUUUCAUUAGCAAGGAAAAGAAGGAAGUUUUUAUCAGCAAGGAAAAUAAAACAACGAAAAGAAAUGGAAGUUUUAUUAGUAAGGAAAAAAAGGUGAAGUUUUUAUUAGCAAGGAAAAAAACGAAAAGGUUAAGUUUUUAUUAGCAAGGAAAAUAAAACGAGAAAAGAAGGAAGCUUUUAUUGGUAAGGAAACAAUGCAAGGACAGAAGAACCAUUUUUAUUUACACAUCAGUAAAGCGGAAAAAAAUAACACAAAAACCAAAUAAACAGAAAAGAAAGAAGCUGUUUUUAUUACGCGUUUUAUCAGGAACCGGAAAAAAAUAAAAUUGGAACUAAUAGAAUGACAAACCGGGAACAUGGGAGGAUUUUUUACGGACAUACUUUGUGUUUUCUUUGUAAAUUUAGAGCGAGGAAAAAAACUCAACUGGGAAGACUUCUUAGGGAAACAUUUAUGCAUGGUGUGUUUGUGUAAAUGAGGAGAAAGAAGGAUAAAAAUUGCUUAAAAUAAUGUAAACAAACUCAUUUAGCAUCAGUGUAAACAAGUCCAGCUGUGAAGAGGUAGUGUAAACAAUAGGUUAUCCUCAGGUAACUCAAUACAAACAAACAAUAACAAUGUAAACACUUGUCUGCUUGAUGUGAAUGUAAACAAAUGAGUAAACAAGGUGUGUGAGGCUUGUAAACAGUGUAAACAAUAGGUAUAGUAGACAAGCAAGAGUGUUUGGUAUGUUUGGGGAUACAGGCAAACAGUAAUGGAUGUAAACACUAUUGUCUGCCAGGGUAAGAGUGUAAACAUGGAUGUGAGUCUUGUAAACAGGGUAGAAAAGAAGAAUAAUUUAAAGUAAAGUGAGCGUUUCUUAUGUCCAGAGAUACAAACAAGUAGUAACGGAUUGUAAACACGUAUUGUCUACCAGUAUAAGUGUAAACAACUGGGUAAACAAGUGUGUAAGGCUUGCAAACUGUAAACAGAGAGAAAUCGUAGUAGAGUGAGCGUUUCUUAUGUAGUAGCAGAUUGUAAACACGUAUUGUCUGCCUGCAUAAGUGUAAACAACUGCAUAAACAGGUGUAUGAGGCUUGCUAACAGUGUAAACAGAAAUAGCGUGAGUGUUUGCUGUGUCAGGAGAUUGUACAAAGUGUCAAAUAUGUAUAGAGACCGCGAGUUUUUGUAUAUACGAAAAUACGUGCGUGUGUGAGUGUGCAAACAAGAUGAUAUUAGGUCAAACAGGUGAUUGGGAUAAUGUAAACAGGCUGCCAUUAUGAGAACUCUGUAAGAUAUCGCAAAAAAUGAGAACUUUGAGCAUUGUGGAGUAACUUAGAAACAUACCCAGCAAUAAUAUGAAUGUGAGAAAUACGUUUUGAUAUAUGGAAAGUCCGUGAUGAAUGUGAAUAAUGGAGAAUGCGAUAGAAUGUAUUGAGUGGAUGUUGCGUCAAGUUUCGGAAAGUUGGGAUAGAGGAUGUUGAGUCGACGUGGAAGUAUUGAAUUAGUCGAAAGAAAAGGUUAACAUAGAAGAUACUGAUGUUGGAUAUUGUGAAACAGGUGAUGGAAAUAAUGUAAAAAAUCCUCCAUUAUGAAAACUCUGUAAGAUAUCUUGAAAAUGAGAACUUUGAGCAUUGUGGAGUAACUUAGAAACAUACCCAGCAAUAAUAUGAAUGUGGGAAAUACGUUUUGAUAUAUGGAAAGUGCGUGAUGAAUGUGAAAAUGGAGAAUGCGAUAGAAUGUAUUGAGUGGAUGUUGCGUCAAGUUUCGGAGAGUGGGGAUAGAUGUUAAGUUAUAUGAAAGUACUGAAUUAGUUCGAAAAGGUUAUCAUGGGAAAUACUGAUGUUAACAAUGGUAAUACUCAAUGAAAAAGCGAAGUUUGUGAGAAUGCAUAGAUAGAUAGAUAGGAAAUAUUUUAAUGUAGGGUGAACACAGGAAAAAAAAUUAUUAGGAAAAAUAUUGUUGAGUGUAUAUGAAGAAGUUGUAUGAUUCAAAUGUUUUAAAAUGGAUGAGGAAAAAUGAAAAUGAGGGGAAAAAAUGACAAAGAAAAAUAUUGGUUUGUAUAAAUGAAAAAUUUGUAUAAUUUGAAUAUUUUAAAAUGGAUGAGAAAUGAAAAUGAGGUGUUUGUAAGGGGAAAAAAAUGACGAAGA